rnacentral:tRNA from 2 species
GGAGCUGUGCCCGAGCUUUAAGGACCACUUUGAUAGAGUGUAUCACGGGGGUUAAAAUCCCCCCAGCUCCU